GAUGAACGCUGGCGGCGUGCCUAAUACAUGCAAGUCGAGCGAACGGACGAGAAGCUGGCUUCUCUGAUGUUAGCGGCGGACGGGUGAGUAACACGUGGAUAACCUACCUAUAAGACUGGGAUAACUUCGGGAAACCGGAGCUAAUACCGGAUGAUAUUUUGAACCGCAUGGUGCAAAAGUGAAAGACGGUCUUGCUGUCACUUAUAGAUGGAUCCGCGCUGCAUUAGCUAGUUGGUAAGGUAACGGCCUACCAAGGCAACGAUGCAUAGCCGACCUGAGAGGGUGAUCGGCCACACUGGAACUGAGACACGGUCCAGACUCCUACGGGAGGCAGCAGUAGGGAAUCUUCCGCAAUGGGCGAAAGCCUGACGGAGCAACGCCGCGUGAGUGAUGAAGGUCUUCGGAUCGUAAAGCUCUGUUAUUCGGGAAGAACACAUGUGCAAGUAACUGUGCACAUCUUGACGGUACCUAAACAGAAAGCCCCGGCUAACUACGUG
rnacentral:rRNA from 1 species